rnacentral:rRNA from 1 species
UACGUAGGUGGCGAGCGUUAUCCGGAAUUAUUGGGCGUAAAGAGCGCGCAGGUGGUUGAUUAAGUCUGAUGUGAAAGCCCACGGCUUAACCGUGGAGGGUCAUUGGAAACUGGUCGACUUGAGUGCAGAAGAGGGAAGUGGAAUUCCAUGUGUAGCGGUGAAAUGCGUAGAGAUGUGGAGGAACACCAGUGGCGAAGGCGACUUUCUGGGCUGUAACUGACGCUGAGGCGCGAAAGCGUGGGGAGCAAACAGG